rnacentral:tRNA from 1 species
GGCCGGAUGGUGUAGCUGGUUAUCACGUAUGCUUAACACGCAUAAGGUCCUGGGAUCGAGCCCCAGUCUGGUCA